AAGCUCGUAGUUGAAUUUCGGGGUUAGUAGGUUGGUCAUGCCUCUGGUAUGUACUGGUCUCACUGAUUCCUCCUUCCUUAUGAACCGUAAUGCCAUUAAUUUGGUGUUGCGGGGGAAUUUGGACUGUUACUUUGAAAAAACUUAGAGUGUUUAAAGCAAGCUAACGCUUGAAUACAUUAGCAUGGAAUAAUGAAAUAGGACGUUCGAUCUUAUUUUAGUUUGGUUUCUUAGGUAUUGACGUAAUGAUUAAUGGGAUAGUUGGGU
rnacentral:rRNA from 1 species